rnacentral:rRNA from 1 species
UACGUAGGCAGCGAGCGUUGUUCGGAAUUACUGGGCGUAAAGCGCACGUAGGCGGUCUUUUAAGUCGGGGGUGAAAUCCUGGAGCUCAACUCCAGAACUGCCUUCGAUACUGGAAGACUUGAGUCCGGGAGAGGUGAGUGGAACUGCGAGUGUAGAGGUGAAAUUCGUAGAUAUUCGCAAGAACACCAGUGGCGAAGGCGGCUCACUGGCCCGGUACUGACGCUGAGGUGCGAAAGCGUGGGGAGCAAACAGG